ACUAGCAGGUGUGUAGAUGAUGCUGACGUCACUAGCAGGUGUGUAGAUGAUGCUGACGUCACUAGCAGGUGUGUAGAUGAUGCUGACGUCACUAGCAGGUGAGUAGAUGAUGCUGACGUCACUAGCAGGUGUGUAGAUGAUGCUGACGUCACUAGCAGGUGUGUAGAUGAUGCUGACGUCACUAGCAGGUGAGUAGAUGAUGCUGACGUCACUAGCAGGUGUGUAGAUGAUGCUGACGUCACUAGCAGGUGUGUAGAUGAUGCUGACGUCACUAGCAGGUGUGUAGAUGAUGCUGACGUCACUAGCAGGUGUGUAGAUGAUGCUGACGUCACUAGCAGGUGUGUAGAUGAUGCUGAUGUCACUAGCAGGUGAGUAGAUGAUGCUGACGCCACUAGCAGGUGUGUAGAUGAUGCUGACGUCACUAGCAGGUGUGUAGAUGAUGCUGACGUCACUAGCAGGUGUGUAGAUGA